GAUUAACGCUGGCGGCGUGCAUAACACAUGCAAGUCGAACGAAGUGGCGGACGGGUGGGUAACGCGGGAGUAACCUGCCUUAGGAAAGGGGAUAGCCUUGGGAAACGAAGAAUAAUACCCUAUACUCUAAGAUGGACUUGCGUCGGAUUAGUUAGUUGGUGGGGUAACGGCCCACAAAGACAGCGAUCAGUAGCCGGCUUGAGAGAGUGUACGGCCACAUUGGGACUGAGACACGGCCCAGACUCUACGGGAGGCAGCAGUGGGGAAUUUUGCACAAUGGGGGAAACCCUGAUGCAGCGACGCCGCGUGAUUUAGAAGGCCUUCGGGUUGUAAAAAUCUUUUCUAUGGGAAGCAGUACCAUAGGAAUAAGGACCGGCUAAUUACGUGCCAGCCGCCGCGGUAAUAC
rnacentral:rRNA from 1 species